rnacentral:rRNA from 1 species
GUGGGGAAUCUUCCGCAAUGGACGAAAGUCUGACGGAGCAACGCCGCGUGAGUGAAGAAGGUUUUCGGAUCGUAAAGCUCUUUCGUCAGGGACGAACGUGCUCUUUGUGAAUAAUGAGGAGUAAUGACGGUACCUAAAUAAGAAGCCACGGCUAACUACGUGCCAGCAGCCGCGGUAAUACGUAGGUGGCAAGCGUUGUCCGGAAUUAUUGGGCGUAAAGCGCGCGCAGGCGGGAUAUCAAGUCUGUCUUAAAAGUGCGAGGCUCAACCUCGUGAGGGGACAGAAACUGGUAUUCUUGAGUGUCGGAGAGGAAAGUGGAAUUCCAAGUGUAGCGGUGAAAUGCGUAGAGAUUUGGAAGAACACCAGUGGCGAAGGCGACUUUCUGGACGAUGUCUGACGCUGAGGCGCGAAAGCUAGGGGAGCGAACGGGAUUAGAUACCCUGGUAGUCC